rnacentral:rRNA from 1 species
ACGGAACUUCGGGUUUAGUGGCGGACUUGUGAGUAACGCGUGAGAAUCUGCCUCUAGGUCGGGGACAACAACUGGAAACGGUUGCUAAUACCCGAUGUGCAGCAAUGUGAAAGAUUAUUGCCUAGAGAUGAGCUCGCGUCUGAUUAGCUAGUAGGUGUGGUAAUGGCGCACCUAGGCGACGAUCAGUAACUGGUCUGAGAGGAUGACCAGUCACACUGGGACUGAGACACGGCCCAGACUCCUACGGGAGGCAGCAGUGGGGAAUUUUCCGCAAUGGGCGAAAGCCUGACGGAGCAAUACCGCGUGAGGGACGAAGGCUUUUGGGUCGUAAACCUCUUUUCCCUGAGAAGAAGAUCUGACGGUAUCAGGGGAAUCAGCAUCGGCUAACUUCGUGCCAGCAGCCGCGGUAAUACGAGGGAUGCAAGCGUUAUCCGGAAUUAUUGGGCGUAAAGCGUCCGCAGGUGGCUCUGUCAGUCUGUCGUUAAAGAAUGGGGCUCAANCCCAUACAGGCGAUGGAAACUACAAGGCUAGAGUUUGGUAGGGGUCA